AUGGAGCCUUCGCCAGCUAGAUGGCAGAACGCGUUCCUUCAUGGUGUUCUGGAAGAGGAAGUGUAUAUGAAGCAACCUCCUGGGUUUGAGGAUAAACAUAAACCAUCUCACAUUUGCAGGCUUGACAAAUCUCUUUAUGGACUCAAGCAAGCUCCACGUGCCUGGUAUUCUCGGUUGAGUUCUAAGUUGCACACCCUUGGUUUUACUCCCUCUAAGUCUGAUACAUCCCUGUUUAUUUACCAUAAAUCACAGAUAGCUAUCUUUGUACUCAUUUAUGUGGAUGAUAUCAUUGUCACUAGCUCGUCCAAUGAGGCAAUUAUAGCUCUUUUGAAGGAUUUGAACUCAGAGUUUGCUCUUAAGGAUCUUGGAGAUCUUCAUUAUUUCCUUGGUAUUGAGGUAAAAAGGAAUGCCGAAGGUGGUCUUCAUCUCUCUCAAGAAAAAUAUGCAUCUGAUCUUUUGAACAAGGCCGGGUUGCAGGGCUGCAAACCAUCUCCAACACCACUCUCCAGUUCUGAAAGACUGUCUCUUGCCGAAGGGGUUCCUCUGAGUCCAGCGGAUGGCACCAAAUACAGAAGUUUGGUAGGUGCACUCCAGUACUUGACACUCACCAGGCCUGAUAUUUCUUUUGCAGUCAAUAAAGUGUGUCAGUUUCUUCAUGCACCUACUUCAGCUCAUUGGACUGCUGCCAAACGCAUCUUGAGAUAUGUAAAGCACACCUUGGGUGUUGGCCUCACUUUCAGCAAGUCACCCUCAACACUUGUUAGUGCAUUUUCUGAUUCUGACUGGGCAGGAUGUCUGGAUGACAGAAGGUCCACAGGUGGGUUUGCAAUUUUCUUUGGACCUAAUCUCAUCUCAUGGUGUGCCAAGAAACAUGCAACUGUCUCUAGGUCAAGUACUGAGGCAGAAUAUAAGGCGUUGGCCAAUGCAACAACCGAAAUUAUAUGGGUCAGAUCUAUGCUUAAGGAGCUUGGAAUAUAUUCUAUACAAACUCCAUGUCUUUGGUGUGACAAUCUUGGUGCCACAUAUCUUUCAGCUAAUCCGGUCUUCCAUGCAAGAACCAAGCACAUUGAGAUUGAUUAUCAUUUUGUUCGUGAAAGGGUUGCAAGCAAGGAAUUGGAGAUCCGGUUUGUCCCUUCAAAGGAUCAAGUUGCAGAUGGCUUCACAAAGGCUUUGGCUACAGGGCCGUUUGAAGAGUUCAAGCGUAAUCUAAACUUGAGAAGCUUAGAUUAA
rnacentral:rRNA from 1 species